rnacentral:rRNA from 1 species
UACGUAGGGACCAAGCGUUGUUCGGAUUUACUGGGCGUAAAGGGCGCAUAGGCGGCGUGUUAAGUCAGCUGUGAAAUCUCCGAGCUUAACUCGGAACGGUCAGCUGAUACUGAUGUGCUAGAGUGCAGAAGGGGCAAUCGGAAUUCUUGGUGUAGCGGUGAAAUGCGUAGAUAUCAAGAGGAACACCUGAGGUGAAGACGGGUUGCUGGGCUGACACUGACGCUGAGGCGCGAAAGCCAGGGGAGCAAACGGG